AACGAACGCUGGCGGCGUGUCUUAAGCAUGCAAGUCGUGCGGCAAGGUCAGCAAUGGCCCUAGAGCGGCUGACUGGUGGGUAACGCGUGGGUGAUCUGCCCUUGGGAUGGGGAUAGCCUCUAGAAAUAGAGGGUAAUACCGAAUACGUUCCCCCGACUGUGGUUGGGGGAGGAAAAGCGCUUCGGCGCUGCCCGAGGAUGAGCCCGCGUCCCAUUAGCUAGUUGGUGAGGUAAUGGCCCACCAAGGCGAUGAUGGGUAGGCGGCCUGAGAGGGUGUACGCCCACACUGGGACUGAGAUACGGCCCAGACUCCUACGGGAGGCAGCAGCUAAGAAUAUUCCGCAAUGGACGAAAGUCUGACGGAGCGACGCCGCGUGGAUGACGAAGGCCGAAAGGUUGUAAAAUCCUUUUGUUGGGGAAGAAUAAGCGUGGGAGGGAAUGCCCGCGUGAUGACAUGAACCGACGAAUAAGCCCCGGCUAACUACGUGCCAGCCGCCGCCGUAA
rnacentral:rRNA from 1 species